rnacentral:lncRNA from 1 species
UUAGGAUCACUGAUGAUCUAUUUUUCUUGAUUCUUCUCUUUUUACAGCACCUGAUUGGGUAUAGCCUCACAGUCCAGCUUACAACAAGCGACAGCCACAGAAAAGGCCACCUCAGCUAUCAAGAACAAUCCAUUAAAUUUCUCAGGAGGAAUUCAGGAGGUUUUCUUGCAAGUGUAGAGAAGAGACCCUAACUGUUCUUUCCAGGCCUCUUAUUAGACUGUAUUUAACUUUAAUUCCAAAAUACACCCUUUUCAUUUCAAUAACAAUUCCUUUUAUGCUGUGUUUGCUUAGCAAGUUUAUUAAAGGAGUAUUUUUUGAGACAGAUUUUCAGACAAGGAAUACUAGAGCAGCUGGAUUGAAAGAAGGAAGAUUCUCCCAAGGGCAUGUUUUCAAGCUGAAGAGGAAAAAAAAGAUUCUUUAAUCUCUUUGGGAGAAGAAAAAUCAGGUUCCAAUCACUUCUUGGAUUUUAUAUUUGGAAAAACUGAGGAUAAGAAUUUGAUGAGGAUAUCUGCUUUAUUGUAGAAGAAGAAACCAUCCUCUCUAAAUCCCAAGAACAAACAAAUAAAAACUAGUGGAAAUCAUUUUAUAAUAGCUUCUAUUAGAAACUCAUGUAAGAGAAAGUUAAGAAGAAUCAGAUUUUUGAGAGUUUGAUUUUGUUCAAAUUUAUAUGUUAGGGGCACCUAGUUGACACAAUGGAUAGAGCACCAACCCUGGUCAGGAGGACCUGAGUUCAAAUCUGGUCUCAGACAUUUAAUACUUCCUAGCUGUGUGACCUUAGGCAAGUCACUUAACCCCAAUUGCCUCAAAAAAAAUUGUAUGCUACAAUUUUUACAAAAAAAAGCGUUAUCACAAUAUAACUGUAUGAUACUUGGAUAUUAAAAAAUAAGCAUUAAGAGUACAAAUAAUCAGUACAAUGUAUUUAUAUUUCUUUACACAAAAUACAAUUUUUUGAACCAAAUAUGAAUCUUGUCACUUUCCUUCUCUUAAUGUUUAAAAUAAGAUAUCACACAUUAAAGAUAUUUAUAAUAUGUGUCUAAGUGAAGGAAAGACUUAGGAUCUGAGCAGUGAGAAUAAAGUUGCUAUCUUAACUAUUUGAAGUAUCUUCAAUGGAAAGGGGAUAAAUUAUUUCUUCUUUUCCAUCAUCGAUAAAACAGGAGUAAAUAUUAUAGGGAGAAAUAAAAAUCCUUUUGCACAAGUGCUUGGUAAAUAAUAGAUUGUCUCAAUUUUAAAUCCUUGGCAAUUGGGAAAAUUGAAAUGGGCUUCUUUAAAAAGUAGUAUCUUUUUCAUUUGUGGAGUUAUUUAGAGAAAGGAUGCAUGACCAAUAAAUCAGUCAAUUCAUAAACAUUUAUUAAGAUCCUACUUUGUUUUAAACACUAUGCUAAGUACUAGGAAAACAAAAAAAAAAUAGUUCCUCCCUUAAAUAAAUUUACAAACUAAUGAAAUAUUGGGGAUAUUGUAGAAAGGAAUUCAUUUGUCAGAUAAGGUUUGGGCUAGAUGACCUUUGAAUUCCCUUCCAAAUCUAAAAUUCUGUGCUAACUCUUGUCUUCUCUAGAAAAUAACUUUUUAAACAUAAAAUUCUAAUUUUAAUUUGCUGACAAACAACAGUCAGAAAAUGAAAGGUAUAGAUUUCUGUUACACAUGCAUGCAUUAGCACACAUGUGAAUCAUAAGGAUCAAGACACUAGUUGAAUCUUUAGAUGUUUUAUGGAAAAUUAAUCCCUAAAGGGCAAUUGAACUUAUCAUGAAGAAAUAUUAUUAGAAUAGCAAAAAAAAAUUCAUUAUAAAUUACUCAGCUGGCUUUUAUAAUCCUGACCUAUCUUGUUUUAAUAUCUAUGAAGUUAUCUUCUAUUUCUAAUUGGACUUUAUCCUAUUGGUUAGAAAAGAAUAAAUUGUUCACUUUGGAGAAGUAUAAUAAUU